GGGCGGAUGGUGAAAUUGGUAGACACGCAAGCUUGAGGUGCUUGUGGCCGCAAGGCUGUGGAGGUUCAAAUCCUCUUUCGCCCACCA
rnacentral:tRNA from 1 species